GCCAUCUUAGCUCAGUUGGUAGAGCGACGCACUCGUAACGCGUAGGCCGUGGGUUCGAUCCCCGCAGAUGGCU
rnacentral:tRNA from 1 species